rnacentral:rRNA from 2 species
AUUCCAAUCGAACCCGGAGAUAGCUGGUUCUCUCCGAAAUAGCUUUAGGGCUAGCGUCGAGUAUGAGUAGUGGAGGUAGAGCACUGAAUGGGCUAGGGGGCAUAGCGCUUACCGAACCUUAUCAAACUCCGAAUGCCACAUACUUUGAGCUCGGCAGUCAGACUACGAAUGAUAAGAUCCGUGGUCAAAAGGGAAACAGCCCAGAUCGUCAGCUAAGGUCCCAAAGUGUAAGUUAAGUGGGAAAGGAUGUGAGAUUUCUAAGACAACUAGGAUGUUGGCUUAGAAGCAGCCAUUCAUUAAAAGAGUGCGUAAUAGCUCACUAGUCGAGAGAUCUUGCGCCGAAAAUGUAACGGGGCUAAACUUACCACCGAAGCUACGGGCUUGAACUUAGUUCAAGCGGUAGGAGAGCGUCGUAACCGGGCUGAAGUCGUACCGUAAGGAGCGGUGGACUGGUUACGAGUGAGAAUGUUGGCAUCAGUAGCGAGAUGUGGGUGAGAAUCCCACAGGCCGAAAACCUAAGGUUUCCUCAGGAAGGUUCGUCCGCUGAGGGUUAGUCGGGACCUAAGCCGAGGCCGAAAGGCGUAGGUGAUGGACAACUGGUUGAUAUUCCAGUACCACUACCAUCGUUAUUAUCGAUGGCGUGACGCAGGAGGAUAGUGUGUGCUAGCUAUUGGAUGCUAGUCUAAGCGUUUAGGCAGUGAGAGUAGGCAAAUCCGCUCUCAUAAUGCUGAGGCGUGAUGGGGAAGGUUCUACGGAACCGAAGUACAUGAUUCCACGCUGCCAAGAAAAGCGUCUAGAGAGAGAAGUAGUGCCCGUACCGCAAACCGACACAGGUAGGUGAGGAGAGAAUCCUAAGGCCGGCGGAAGAAUUACAGUUAAGGAACUCGGCAAAUUGACCCCGUAAGUUCGCGAGAAGGGGUGCCUACGAGAGUAGGCCGCAGAGAAUAGGCCCAAGCAACUGUUUAGCAAAAACACAGGUCUCUGCUAAAGCGUAAGCUGAUGUAUAGGGGCUGACGCCUGCCCGGUGCUGGAAGGUUAAGGGGAACACUUAGCGCAAGCGAAGGUGUGAACUUAAGCCCCAGUAAACGGCGGCCGUAACUAUAACGGUCCUAAGGUAGCGAAAUUCCUUGUCAGGUAAGUUCUGACCCGCACGAAUGGCGUAAUGACUUGGGCACUGUCUCAACUGUAAAUCCGGCGAAGUUGUAGUGCGAGUGAAGAUGCUCGCUACCCGCGAUUGGACGGAAAGACCCCGUAGAGCUUUACUGUAGCUUAGCAUUGAGUUUUGGUAUUGUCUGUACAGGAUAGGUGGGAGACUAGGAAACCAGGGCGUCAGCCUUGGUGGAGUCAACCUUGGGAUACCACCCUGACAGUACUGAAAUUCUAACUGGCGGCCAUGAAUCUGGUCACAGGACAUUGUUAGGUGGGCAGUUUGACUGGGGCGGUCGCCUCCUAAAAAGUAACGGAGGCGCCCAAAGGUUCCCUCAGAACGGUCGGAAAUCGUUCGAAGAGUGCAAAGGCAGAAGGGAGCCUGACUGCGACACCCACAAGUGGAGCAGGGACGAAAGUCGGGCUUAGUGAUCCGGUGGUACCUCGUGGGAGGGCCAUCGCUCAACGGAUAAAAGCUACCUCGGGGAUAACAGGCUGAUCUCCCCCAAGAGUCCACAUCGACGGGGAGGUUUGGCAC